CCUACGGGAGUCAGCAGUAGGGAAUAUUGCUCAAUGGGGGAAACCCUGAAGCAGCAACGCCGCGUGGAGGAUGAAGGUUUUCGGAUUGUAAACUCCUUUUAUUAGAGAAGAAAAUUACGUUAUCUAACCAAUAAUCACCUGCUAACUCCGUGCCAGCAGCCGCGGUAAUACGGAGGGUGCGAGCGUUACGCGGAAUAUCUGGGCGUAAAGAGCGCGUAGGCGGGAUAGAAAGUCAGAUGUGAAAUCCUAGGGGUCAACCAUAGAACUGCCUUUGAAACUGUUAUUCUAGAGUAUGUGAGAGGUAGGUGGAAUUCGUGGUGUAGGGGUGAAAUCCGUAGAGAUCAAGAGGAACACCCAUUGCGAAGGCGACCUGCUGGCACAUAACUGACGCUGAUGCGCGAAAGCGUGGGGAGCAAACAGGAUUAGAUACCCUUGUAGUC
rnacentral:rRNA from 1 species